GUCUCAUAAUGGAACUGAACCAGCGACCUUUUGUUUACUAGACAUACGCUUUGCCCCUGAGCCAAUGAUGA